rnacentral:rRNA from 1 species
UACGGAGGGUGCAAGCGUUGUCCGGAAUUACUGGGCGUAAAGCGCGCGCAGGCGGUCCUUCAAGUCAGAGGUGAAAGCCCAGAGCUCAACUCUGGAACGGCCUUUGAGACUAGAGGACUUGGGUACGGGAGAGGUGAGUGGAAUUCCGAGUGUAGAGGUGAAAUUCGUAGAUAUUCGGAAGAACACCAGUGGCGAAGGCGGCUCACUGGCCCGUUACCGACGCUCAGGCGCGACAGCGUGGGGAGCAAACAGG